rnacentral:rRNA from 1 species
GACGAACCGAGCGAACGUUGUUCGGAAUCACUGGGCUUAAAGGGCGCGUAGGCGGGCUGCCGCGUCCGGGGUGAAAUCCUCCGGCUCAACCGGAGAACGGCCCCGGGUACGGGCGGCCUCGAGGGGGGUAGGGGCGUGCGGAACUGUGGGUGGAGCGGUGAAAUGCGUUGAUAUCCACAGGAACUCCCGGUGGCGAAGGCGG